GAGGGUGUAGCUCAGUGGUAGAGUUCAUGCCUAGUGGGCACAGGGUCCUGGGUUCAACCCCCACUACCUCCA
rnacentral:tRNA from 1 species